rfam:Leptolyngbya valderiana BDT 20041 contig00157, whole genome shotgun sequence.
GUUGAAAAACCCAAAAAUCCCUUCUAGGGAUUGAAAC